rnacentral:lncRNA from 1 species
UGAAAAUAUAAUUUCUAUAUUUUUUUUUAAUAUAUUUUGAUGAGGCCAAGAACAAAACAUGUUGUGAUAGCAUUAACAAAUCUGAAAAUUUAUAGGGUCUGGUGGAUAUUUUCAUCAUUUAGCAUAAAUUUUUAUUUAUCAAAUAUCAUACAUAUGUUAAUAUGGAAUAUAAUCAAACUAUAGAAACUUCAAGCCUUUUCUGAAUCUAAUAUUAUAGAGGUGAGGAUCUCAUCCUCAAAAUAAAGUAAAAUUACAACAACAAAAAUCAAUGUUUAACCAUAAUUAAAGAAUAACUAAUCGAAGAAUUCAAAUAGAGAAAAAUAUUCAACGAGUGACCAAACAACACAUUAAUUCAUGAAUGCGCACAGCGCAUGAGUUAAUUAUCAGUGUUGUUCGGUCACGAGUUGAAUAUUUUUCCAUAUUUGAAUUCUUUGAUUAGUUAUUCUUGUUAUUACAUUGGCAAAUGGCUUUUUUUUUAUGAAAUUAAAGUAGAAAAUGUAAGGAACUAUAUCUUUUUCUACGCAUUCACAAUUUGUUUUGAUCCGACGUUAUCCAUGUCUUGACAAUGCCUAUUGUUGUAUGACGUCAGAGGACUGAAAUAACCUCGUUUAUUUCACAUGUGAAAUUAUCGGUUUUUAUUUCACUGGGAAAUCAAUGUAAUUCAUUGCAACCAAUGUAAUAAUGCUGGAUAUUGAAACUGAUUUGGCAGAUAACACAUUGACCACAAUGUCCAAUUUUCUUCCCAUUUUUCAUAAAUAAAAAGGUAAUACACAAAAGUUUGAAUGGGUGGUGAAUAAAAGACCGACAUACACAUACUUGUACCACAACAAUACUUUUCUUUUGUCUUAAACAACUCUGUCAAGAAUUACUAGGCCAAAAGAUAAAGUUGUAGUGAUACCAUAUACAUGUACAUUCAUCACAGACUCAAAAUUUUCAAAAUCUAUUCAUUUUACUUGCUUUACUUAAUAAUAAAGAAACUAAUGGUUUACAGCAACAUUUACAGAAUUUGAGAAAGACAAUAUCAUUUAUUACAGUUGUGUUACAAUUCUUUAAAUUUGUUUCUAUAUCUGUUUCUGGUGGGGAAAUACUUUAACAAGUUUUAAAAUGAAACAUCUUCCCAACUACAUAAGUUAAUCAAGCAUACAUAAUUAACAGAAUGUAUUUGUCUCAAAAUGUUUUUGCAGCUGCCAUACUUUCAACACUACAUGAUUAAAAGCAAGGUAAAUGUGAUGCACAACUACAAGCUACAAUUGUGGACAAAUAACUACGUCAUCACAAAGUAAAAAGAGAGGACAAAUAGUUAGGACAUAUCAUUGCAUAGAAAAAUCAAGACCAUACAUCAAAUUGCUUUAUAUUAUCAUUCAAUAGGUAAUUUUCAUGCACAUUAAUUCAGAAAAAAGGCAACCUUCUAACAUUCAGACAUUACUAUUACACAUAAUUGUCAUGCAGUCUGGUUUUAUUGGUCUGAAUCUAAGAUUCCCAUCUUUACUGUUUGAUUUCUCAUUUUUUAGCAUUGUUGGCUUUUUAAAUGGUUGUGGGAGGGUACAAAAGGAUUUCUUUAAUACCCCACAAAUAUUUUUUUUCUCUGAGUAAGUUUACAUUUCAUCAAAUGGACUUUCCACCAUAAAUGACCCUUGCCCAAACAUGAACUUUCCUUCAUAUUCUAAUGAAAUAACCAAUAUUAUUUUUACAAUUAAUUGUUAUCACCAUGUUUAAUUCUUUUAAUAUGAACUGGGUAUGUUUAAAAAAUCAAAAAUUAAACUGACAUGAAUAGUUUCUUGUGAUAAGUAUUCUUAUACCUAGGAAUUCUUUCAUCAUAGCUAAAACAAAAGUACGGUUAGAACACAACAUAAAUUGCACUCGGUUAGCACUAUAGACAAAAACAAAAUAAACACAAUAGUAACAGCACCAAAUCUCCCUAGUCAUGGCAAUAACAUAAACUACUAUUUGUUAUAUUGGUAAUCUACAAUGCACACUAAAAACUAGGUCAAUCCACACAAAAUAAAUUUUGGUAAAUGGGUUACAUUAAAAAUAAAAUGUUAGUGGCAUGAGUUUCUAAAUAUGUAAAAUUGUUAAAUCAAGAGUGAGAGAAAGACUAUAUCAUGAAU